rnacentral:miRNA from 1 species
ACUGCCCUGAGUGCUCCUUCUG